AGAGUUUGAUUAUGGCUCAGGAUGAACGCUAGCGAUAGGCCUAACACAUGCAAGUCGAGGGGCAUCACAUGAAGCAGCAAUACGGAUGGUGGCGACCGGCGCACGGGUGAGUAACACGUAUGCAACCUGCCUUCAACAAGGGCAUAACCCGUUGAAAGACGGACUAAUUCCCUAUGACACAGGGGUCCCGCAUGGGGAUAUUUGUUAAAGAUUUUAUCGGUUGAAGAUGGGCAUGCGUUCCAUUAGCUUGUUGGCGGGGUAACGGCCCACCAAGGCAACGAUGGAUAGGGGAACUGAAAGGUUUAUCCCCCACACUGGUACUGAGACACGGACCAGACUCCUACGGGAGGCAGCAGUGAGGAAUAUUGGUCAAUGGACGCAAGUCUGAACCAGCCACGUCGCGUGAAGGAAGACGGCCCUACGGGUUGUAAACUUCUUUUAUACGGGAAUAAAGUGCCCCACGUGUGGGGUUUUGCAUGUACCGUAUGAAUAAGGAUCGGCUAACUCCGUGCCAGCAGCCGCGGUAAUACGGAGGAUCCGAGCGUUAUCCGGAUUUAUUGGGUUUAAAGGGUGCUCAGGCGGGGGGUUAAGUCGGCGGUGAAAUUUUGCAGCUCAACUGUAAAAGUGCCUUCGAAACUGGUUCCCUUGAGUGCGGAUGAGGUAGGCGGAAUUUGUGGUGUAGCGGUGAAAUGCAUAGAUAUCACGAGGAACUCCGAUUGCGCAGGCAGCUUACCAAGCCGUAACUGACGCUCAAGCACGAAGGCGUGGGGAUCAAACAGGAUUAGAUACCCUGGUAGUCCACGCAGUAAACGAUGAUUACUGGCUGUUUGCGAUAUAAUGUAAGCGGCUGAGCGAAAGCGUUAAGUAAUCCACCUGGGGAGUACGUUCGCAAGAAUGAACUCAAAUGAUUGACGGAAGGCGAAUUCGCG
rnacentral:rRNA from 1 species